UACGAAGGGGGCUAGCGUUGCUCGGAAUUACUGGGCGUAAAGCGCACGUAGGCGGCUUCUUAAGUCGGUGGUGAAAUCCUGGAGCUCAACUCCAGAACUGCCUUCGAUACUGGGAGCUCGAGUCCGGGAGAGGUGAGUGGAACUGCGAGUGUAGAGGUGAAAUUCGUAGAUAUUCGCAAGAACACCAGUGGCGAAGGCGGCUCACUGGCCCGGUACUGACGCUGAGGUGGCGAAAGCGUGGGGAGCAAACAGG
rnacentral:rRNA from 1 species